UAAAGAUUAAGCCAUGCAUGUCUAAGUAUAAAUAGUAUACAGUGAAACUGCGAAUGGCUCAUUAAAACAGUUAUAGUUUAUUUGAUAAUUGAAUUCUACAUGGAUAACCGUAGUAAUUCUAGAGCUAAUACAUGCUGUAAAACCUGAUUUUUUGGAAAGGUUGUAUUUAUUAGAUAUCAAACCAAUAAUCUUUCGGGAUUAUUGUGAUGAUUCAUAAUAACUGAUCGGAUCAAGGUGUACCUUGAUAGAUCAUUCAAGUUUCUGCCCUAUCAGCUUUCGAUGGUAGUGUAUUGGACUACCAUGGCAGUCACGGGUAACGGAGAAUUAGGGUUCGAUUCCGGAGAGGGAGCCUGAGAAACGGCUACCACAUCUACGGAAGGCAGCAGGCGCGUAAAUUACCCAAUCCUGAUUCAGGGAGGUAGUGACAAGAAAUAACAACUCGGGGCCUCACGGCUUACGAGAUUGCAAUGAGAACAAUUUAAAUCUCUUAGCGAGGAACAUU
rnacentral:rRNA from 1 species